rnacentral:rRNA from 1 species
UACGUAGGGGGCAAGCGUUGUCCGGAAUCAUUGGGCGUAAAGAGCGUGUAGGCGGCUCGGUAAGUCCGCUGUGAAAAGUCCAGGGCUCAACCCUGGAAAGCCGGUGGAAACUGUCGAGCUCGAGUCCGGAAGAGGCGAGUGGAAUUCCUGGUGUAGCGGUGAAAUGCGCAGAUAUCAGGAGGAACACCAAUGGCGAAGGCAGCUCGCUGGGACGGUAACUGACGCUGAGACGCGAAAGCGUGGGGAGCAAACAGG